rnacentral:lncRNA from 1 species
AUUCUAUCCAUAUUAUGCCCUCUUUCUUGUAAGGUAUGUCCAAUUGCCACCUGGUGUUAGAAUUUAGGGUAUCAAAAAGCCAGUUUCCUCAGUUUUUUUCCCCCUGAUGGUGCUCAGCUAUUUAACAUGAGAGAAAACAGAAAACUGGUGCUAUGAUUACAAAGGUUAUAAAAUGUGCAGUCCUCCAGUUGAAGAGGCAUGGACUGGGAGCUGCCAAAAUAAGGACAAUCCCCAAUUAACACUCUGAGCACAAGAGUCAAGAAUCUUCCCUCACUGGGUCGUUUGAGGUUCAAGAACUAUGAAAUGAAGAAUGUAAGGCCUAUUAAAAACAAUGGGUUUUCUGGUCAGUCA